AGAGUUUGAUCCUGGCUCAGAAUCAACGCUGGCGGCGUGCCUAACACAUGCAAGUCGAACGAGAAAGUGGAGCAAUCCAUGAGUAAAGUGGCGCACGGGUGAGUAACACGUGACUAACCUACCCUUGAGUGGGGGAUAACCUAGGGAAACCUGGGCUAAUACCGCAUAAUACCUUCGGGUCAAAGGAGCAAUUCGCUUAAGGAGGGGGUCGCGGCCGAUUAGUUAGUUGGCGGGGUAAUGGCCCACCAAGACUGUGAUCGGUAUCCGGCCUGAGAGGGCGCACGGACACACUGGAACUGAAACACGGUCCAGACUCCUACGGGAGGCAGCAGUGGGGAAUUUUGCGCAAUGGGGGAAACCCUGACGCAGCAACGCCGCGUGGAGGAUGAAGUCCCUUGGGACGUAAACUCCUUCGAUCGGGACG
rnacentral:rRNA from 1 species